rnacentral:rRNA from 1 species
CCUACUGGUGACAGCAGUGAGGAAUAUUGGUCAAUGGACGGAAGUCUGAACCAUCCCUUCCGCUUUCCGUCCUCCUUCUCUCUUCUUUUUCCCCUUCUUUUUUCCCAGGGUAAACCUGAAUACGUGUAUUCAGCUGAAAGUACUGUACGAAUAAGGAUCGGCUAACUCCGUGCCAGCAGCCGCGGUAAUACGGAGGAUCCAAGCGUUAUCCGGAUUUAUUGGGUUUAAAGGGUGCGUAGGCGGAUUGAUAAGUUAGAGGUGAAAUGUCCGAGCUUAACUCGGGAACUGCCUCUAAUACUGUUGAUCUAGAGAGUAGAUGCGGUAGGCGGAAUGUAUGGUGUAGCGGUGAAAUGCUUAGAGAUCAUACAGAACACCGAUUGCGAAGGCAGCUUACCAAUCUAUAUCUGACGUUGAGGCACGAAAGCGUGGGGAGCAAACAGGAUUAGAUACCCCAGUAGUC